UGUGUGUGUGUGUGUGUGUGUGACUAGCAACCUCUGGUGCCUCUUUCUCGCCUCCCUUGGCUGAUUCUGGACACCAAGAUCCCUAUGCAGCUGAUGGAGCUCAAUUUUUAAUUAGCUGUGGCUUUUUGCAAGCGAGACUUUCUUACAGAAACUGGGAGACAAGGAGACACAAAUACAAAGAAAGAUCUUUUUACAGUCACCGUUCUGAACAAUGAAAUCCAAUAUCGGAGGGAAAAAAAAUCACUUCAGAUGUGAAAAUGGAUUAAAAAGAGUGUGUGUGUGUGUUGGGGGGGGGACAAAACAGCUCAUUUGCAACUCCAGCAAAGUGGGGCGCUGAAUCCCACCUGUGGGCAGAGCUAUCCCGGGGACCCUACACUGCAGCCAGCUGAAGCCAUUGUACUCCCCUGAAACGGAGAUCCUUUGCAGCUGUGCGGAUAGGCAGCCCUUGAUUCAAGUUUGGUAUUUGCCCCAGACUGUAGGGGUCAGCUUAACAGUAACCAUAGACACAAAGAAAGAGAGAACAGCGCACACAGAAAAUGGCACUCCAAGUGUGUCCGAGUUUGUGGCAACGGAACAUUGUCAAGUACAGCUACCAUUCACAAUCACCUUAGACGACGUUGAUGCAGAAAGGCUUCUCACACUGGAACGCAGAUGAAUCCUCUUCAUUAGCAGAGGAACCUGACACACAAGACAGCUUGCUUCCCUGUCCACCGCCCACAGCUCAGGUAAGCCCUGCCCUCUGCCCAUCUCUUCCUGAGUUCCCGGCACAUCUGGGCCGAGUUCACAAACAUCUUCCCUCCAUUUCCUUGCCUGGCUCCUUUGGCAAUCAGUGGGUUGCCAGUCUUUGAAGAGGGAUUAACAUCUACUCUGGGAGCAGUGGAAGGGUCGGGGCUUGCCUGUCCCUUCCCUUUCUGCCAUUGAUUGGCCAAAUAACUGUGAGAAAGUCCCUUACCAUGACACACUAUGUAUGCCUCAACCUUGGAGGAUCCUGGCCGAGAUCACCGCUGUGUAUCCUCCCACGUCAUUUUUUGUGGUGAAGAAAAAAUCAAAGACGAUAAACUGGUGACUCUUUGACAGAAUAUGAUGCUUUUAUUUUUCCUUUUCCCUAAAGGCCAGUAGCCCCUGGAUUCCGGCACACCCUGUUUCCUUCUGCGCACCUUUUCAAAAACAAACCCUAAGACGAGAGGGUUUCAUGUUACCCCGCUGAAGAACUGCAGCCAGUGAUGGAUAGUCUCAGCGUCUGAAGGAUUUUCCUUAAUGAUUUGCACAUGUCCUCUGGGGCGCCUGUUUACAAUUAGAGAUGGAGGGACCAAAAGCUGCACCAAAAGCAAAAGCCUGGUCCUUUACUCGCUUUCCACUCUUUGGCUGUCCCCAACACAUUCACCUUCCUCUAGAAGUUGGAGGCAGAUGGAGUUUGUACGUGAAAUGGAUUUGGAUGCCUGUCAGCCCUCUUGCCUGCACAUUUACGACAUAGUCUCAAAGCUCAAAGACCUUUCUUUCCCUCAGUAGGGUUUUGAAAACGAAAAGUUUGUCCUUAAUACUCUGAGGAGGAAUGUAGGGAAUUUUAUGAAUGGAGCAGACAGAAAGAACGUCUUGGCAUCUGACCUGCCAAGGGCACUUAUCCUAGGGCACUCGACAACUUCCAACACGCUGUGCACGGUCCACAGGUAACUGUGUGCAUGUUCUACGUACUGUCUGUUGCCUGUGCCCGCAAGUACGUCUGCUUCUUGAGGACAAGCAUGCUUGUCUAUUGUGUCUGAGUCCCUGGUACAUACAACAAUUGCUGGCUUAUGUCAGAUGCUUACUCAGGAAGCUAGGCAUUAUAAAAAUAUCACGUAAAAGGUUCAGAAGAAAUGGUACUUUUCACAUUUCACUUAUAGAAUUUGAACUGUGUGUAUGUGAAUGUGUGUGUGUGUGCGUGUGUGAGUGUAUGUGGAAGCAAGAAAGCUAUGUCCAGCCGGGUAGUAGCAGUGGUGGUGCACACCUUUGAUCUCAGCGCUCAGGAGAUAGAGAGGUAGGCAGAGCAAUGAGUUAGAAGCCAGCCUGGUCUACAGAGUGAGUUCUAGGACAGCCAAGGCUACACAGAGAACAACAACAAAAGUCUAUGUCCAGUACUCUUCCUUGGUUACUCUCUACCUUCCUCUUUUUUAAGAUCAUGUCUCUCACUGAGUUCCCAGUGAGAGUUCCCAAGGUCCUGCCAGUCUCUGUCCCCAAACCCUAGCACGGGGUAACAAAUGAGUAGAUUUUACGUAAGUGCUUAGAGCCCAUCCUCCAGCUUUGGUGACAGGCACUUUACCAACUUAGCCACUUCCCCAGCUGCACAGCGUCUUUGGAAGACAGAAGCAUUGUCCAACGGACCACAAUGGUGAGAGUGACAACGGCACAGGGAUGACAAUGUGCAGCUGAGAAAAGGCUGUGGUGAUAACCAUGGUGGCUUUCAGGAUUAGCUUAGUUACCUUUGUGACUGCUCCCACGCAGGCUCCCGCCCGAAAGAACACUGACCAGAGAGCUGAGAGACGAACCUGAAGAACUUACUUUGUCUCUUCCACUCCAUUUCCUUCUACUACCAUAGGAGACUGUAUUUGUUGGAGAACUCCAGUCUCUGAAGGAGUCAAGUUUUCCUGGAUGCUCCAGGCGAGUGAAUGCCCUGGCAAAUAAGCCAAUGCUACUCUGCA
rnacentral:sRNA from 1 species